rnacentral:rRNA from 1 species
AGUGAACGCUGGCGGCGUGCCUAACACAUGCAAGUCGAACGAGAACGGAUUUAAGUUUACUUAAAUUGUCAGCUAAGUGGCGCACGGGUGAGUAAUGUAUAGUUAACCUGCCCUCUAGAAAGGAAUAACAGUUAGAAAUGAUUGCUAAUGCCUUAUAUGCCUUUUUAACAUAAGUUAGUAAAGGGAAAUGCUUUAGUGCUAGAGGAUGGGACUGUAUAGUAUCAGAUAGUUGGUGGGGUAAUGGCCUACCAAGUCAAUGACGCUUAACUGGUUUGAGAGGAUGAUCAGUCACACUGGAACUGAGACACGGUCCAGACUCCUACGGGAGGCAGCAGUGGGGAAUAUUGCACAAUGGACGAAAGUCUGAUGCAGCAACGCCGCGUGGAGGAUGACACAUUUCGGUGCGUAAACUCCUUUUAUGUAGGAAGAUAAUGACGGUACUAUAUGAAUAAGCACCGGCUAACUCCGUGCCAGCAGCCGCGGUAAUACGGAGGGUGCAAGCGUUACUCGGAAUCACUGGGCGUAAAGAGCAUGUAGGCGGAUUGAUAAGUUUGAAGUGAAAUCCUAUAGCUUAACUAUAGAACUGCUUUGAAAACUGUUAAUCUAGAGUAUGGGAGAGGUAGAUGGAAUUUCUGGUGUAGGGGUAAAAUCCGUAGAGAUCAGAAGGAAUACCGAUUGCGAAGGCGAUCUACUGGAACAUUACUGACGCUCAGAUGCGAAAGCGUGGGGAGCAAACAG